rfam:Oryza sativa (indica cultivar-group) chromosome 11, whole genome shotgun sequence.
AAAACGACAAACUCUGGAUUUUUGUGUCCAACUUUAAUUGUCCAUCUUAUAUAAAAUUUUUUUAUAAUUUAUAUUUUCAUUGUUGUUAGAUGAUAAAACAUGAUUAAUAUUUUAUGCGUGACUUGUCUUUUUAAUUUUUUUCAUAACUUUUUUAAAUAAAACGGAUGGUCAAACGUUAGACACGGAAAUAAGGGUU